rnacentral:rRNA from 1 species
UACGUAGGGUGCGAGCGUUGUCCGGAAUUAUUGGGCGUAAAGAGCUCGUAGGCGGUGUGUCACGUCGGCCGUGAAAACCUGCAGCUUAACUGUGGGCGUGCGGUCGAUACGGGCAUCACUGGAGUUCGGCAGGGGAGACUGGAAUUCCUGGUGUAGCGGUGAAAUGCGCAGAUAUCAGGAGGAACACCGGUGGCGAAGGCGGGUCUCUGGGCCGAUACUGACGCUGAGGAGCGAAAGCGUGGGGGGCGAACAGG